rnacentral:rRNA from 1 species
AUGAACGCUGGCGGCGUGCCUAAUACAUGCAAGUCGAGCGAAUGGACGAGAAGCUUGCUUCUCUGAUGUUAGCGGCGGACGGGUGAGUAACACGUGGAUAACCUACCUAUAAGACUGGGAUAACUUCGGGAAACCGGAGCUAAUACCGGAUAAUAUUUUGAACCGCAUGGUUCAAAAGUGAAAGACGGUCUUGCUGUCACUUAUAGAUGGAUCCGCGCUGCAUUAGCUAGUUGGUAAGGUAACGGCUUACCAAGGCAACGAUGCAUAGCCGACCUGAGAGGGUGAUCGGCCACACUGGAACUGAGACACGGUCCAGACUCCUACGGGAGGCAGCAGUAGGGAAUCUUCCGCAAUGGGCGAAAGCCUGACGGAGCAACGCCGCGUGAGUGAUGAAGGUCUUCGGAUCGUAAAACUCUGUUAUUAGGGAAGAACAUAUGUGUAAGUAACUGUGCACAUCUUGACGGUACCUAAUCAGAAAGCCACGGCUAACUACGUG